CUCAGCUCAGGUCCUCAGACACACCUCCUCCAGCUGACUGGGAUGGGUGUGGAGCACUGCCUGCCUCUCCCUCCUAACCCAGGAAUGAAGGGAAUUCUCAAGCUCUGCCUUCCACCUUACAGACAAACAGCAUGAGGUCAAGGAGGAAGGCAUUUUGCACCAGGCCAUACAGCUAGCGAUGUGCCCACCUGCACAGCUAGUUACUCAUGGUGCUGGCAGCUGGGUGUGGAGUGACUCACUGCUUUGUGGGGACAGAGAGACAUGUACUUUGCCUCUAUCCACGAGGCAAGGAGCAGUUCAUGCUGAUUUACUACAUCCAGAGUGGGACAAAGGCAGGUUUCUACACUGGCCAAAUGGGGCUGUUAUAAUUAAAGCUUUGGGUAGGUUAUAUUAUAUUUUCUUUCAGUAAGUUUUCUAUGGUUUCUGUAAUUUCAGUAGAAUCUCCCUUAAUUGGAUAUUGGUUGUUAAAACUGGGUUUGGUGGGUGGGAGUUCUAUGUCUGAUAUCUUUGCUAUUGAUAAAUUGGAUGGAA